rnacentral:rRNA from 1 species
UACGUAGGGGGCUAGCGUUGUCCGGAUUUAUUGGGCGUAAAGAGCGUGUAGGCGGCCAGGUAGGUCUGCUGUGAAAACUCGAGGCUCAACCUCGAGACGUCGGCGGAAACCAUCUGGCUAGAGUCCGGAAGAGGAGAGUGGAAUUCCUGGUGUAGCGGUGAAAUGCGCAGAUAUCAGGAAGAACACCCGUGGCGAAAGCGACACACUGGAUUGUCUGACGCUGAGGCACGAAAGCCAGGGGAGCGAACGGG